UACAGAGGUCCCAAGCGUUGUUCGGAUUCACUGGGCGUAAAGGGUGCGUAGGUGGCGAGGUAAGUUUGAUGUGAAAUCUCUGAGCUCAACUCGGAAACUGCAUUGAAUACUAUCUUGCUUGAGGAUUGGAGGGGGGACUGGAAUUCUUGGUGUAGCAGUGAAAUGCGUAGAUAUCAAGAGGAACACCAGUGGCGAAGGCGAGUCCCUGGACAAUACCUGACACUGAGGCACGAAAGCUAGGGGAGCAAACAGG
rnacentral:rRNA from 1 species